AUUGAACGCUGGCGGCAUGCUUUACACAUGCAAGUCGAACGGUAACAGGCCUUCGGGUGCUGACGAGUGGCGAACGGGUGAGUAAUGCAUCGGAACGUACCCAGAGGUGGGGGAUAACGCAGCGAAAGCUGUGCUAAUACCGCAUGUGAUCUGAGGAUGAAAGCGGGGGACCGAGCAGCAAUGUUUGGCCUCGCGCCUUUGGAGCGGCCGAUGCCGGAUUAGCUAGUUGGUGGGGUAAAGGCCUACCAAGGCGACGAUCCGUAGCUGGUCUGAGAGGACGACCAGCCACACUGGGACUGAGACACGGCCCAGACUCCUACGGGAGGCAGCAGUGGGGAAUCUUGGACAAUGGGCGCAAGCUUGAUCGAGCAAUGCCGCGUGAGGGAAGAAGGCCUUCGGGUUGUAAACCGCUUUUGGCAGGAACGAAACGGUGUCCGCUAAUACCGGGCGCUAAUGACGGUACCUGCAGAAUAAGCACCGGCUAACUACGUG
rnacentral:rRNA from 1 species